rnacentral:rRNA from 1 species
GACGGAGGGGGCUAGCGUUGUUCGGAAUCACUGGGCGUAAAGGGCGCGUAGGCGGCCUAGCAAGUCAGGCGUGAAAUCCCGGGGCUUAACCCCGGAACUGCGCUUGAAACUGCAAGGCUUGAGUCUCGGAGAGGAUGGUGGAAUUCCUAGUGUAGAGGUGAAAUUCGUAGAUAUUAGGAGGAACACCGAUGGCGAAGGCAGCCAUCUGGACGAGUACUGACGCUGAGGCGCGAAAGCGUGGGGAGCAAAC